rnacentral:rRNA from 1 species
AGCGAACGCUGGCGGCAGGCUUAACACAUGCAAGUCGAGCGGGCGUAGCAAUACGUCAGCGGCAGACGGGUGAGUAACGCGUGGGAACAUACCUUUUGGUUCGGAACAACACAGGGAAACUUGUGCUAAUACCGGAUAAGCCCUUACGGGGAAAGAUUUAUCGCCGAAAGAUUGGCCCGCGUCUGAUUAGCUAGUUGGUAGGGUAAUGGCCUACCAAGGCGAUGAUCAGUAGCUGGUCUGAGAGGAUGAUCAGCCACAUUGGGACUGAGACACGGCCCAAACUCCUACGGGAGGCAGCAGUGGGGAAUAUUGGACAAUGGGCGCAAGCCUGAUCCAGCCAUGCCGCGUGAGUGAUGAAGGCCCUAGGGUUGUAAAGCUCUUUGUGCGGGAAGAUAAUGACGGUACCGCAAGAAUAAGCCCCGGCUAACUUCGUGCCAGCAGCCGCGGUAAU